UAAAGAGGGUCUGCAGCCGGCCCUGAAGCUCCAGCAGGAGCGCUGUGAGUCCCGCAGUGCUCAAAGCAGUGGUCAGAGAAUUGAGAAGACUGAGGGAGUGCAGGAAUCCAAGACAAGACUAGAGAGAACCCCACCUGCACCCUCACCCCACGUGGCUUUGUCUGUGGAUUCCUCAAGAAACAUGUAUCGAGCAUCUUCAUAUACAUGUCAGUGUGCUAGAGAUUUUUAAGCAUAUCAAUUUGAUGAGACAUACACUUGACGCUCUGUAAGGUUAUGUCCCUUGUAUUUGUAUGGUGGAAAUACCAGAUGAUGGUGUGCUGCUGAGAGCCUCUUCCCAACUCCACUUUCGGUGACAUCAAACUGGCUUCUUGAAAUAGGCCACCUCGUGGGUAUUUACAACAUGGAGAUUGGCAGACGCUACAAAUCAGAGCUUGCUACAUUGUUUUGUUGAUUGUCUUUACUUAAGUGAUGGAAAA